GACAGAGGAUGGCAAGCGUUAUCCGGAAUGAUUGGGCGUAAAGCGUCUGUAGGUGGCUUUUAAGUCCGCCGUCAAAUCCCAGGGCUCAACCCUGGACAGGCGGUGGAAACUACCAAGCUGGGAGUACGGGUAGGGGCAGAGGGAAUUCCCGGUCGUAGCGGUGAAUGCGCAGAUAUCGGGAGGAACACCGGUGGCGAAGGCGGUUCUCUGGGCCUUACCUGACGCUGAGGUGCGAAAGCGUGGGGAGCAAACAGG
rnacentral:rRNA from 1 species